CAGUCGCCACGGUAAUACGAAGGGGGCUAGCGUUGUUCGGAAUUACUGGGCGUAAAGGGCGCGUAGGCGGCCAUUCAAGUUAGAUGUGAAAGCCCUGGGCUCAACCUAGGAAUUGCAUUUGAUACUGUUUGGCUUGAGUUCGGGAGAGGUGAGUGGAAUUCCCAGUGUAGAGGUGAAAUUCGUAGAUAUUGGGAAGAACACCAGUGGCGAAGGCGGCUCACUGGACCGACACUGACGCUGAGGCGCGAAAGCGUGGGGAGCAAACAGGAUUAGAUACCCGGGUAGUCCCUGUCUCUUAUAC
rnacentral:rRNA from 1 species